ACGGCCAGCAGGACGUGGGCAAGGUGUUCCUGCUGCUGCUGGACAAGCUGGGCUGGGACGACCUGCAGGAGCUGUUUCAGAGUGAAGUGGGGAAGGUGGUCAAGUGUGACAGGUGUGGCAGUGAGGACCACAUCCCGCCCGGGGGCAGGACACUGCUGCUCCCCCUGGCCUCCCUCUCCCGGCUUCGUGGUCUGCAUGGGUUCAGGCAGGCGCCCCGAGAGCCACCCCGAGAGCCUGCUGGAUGCGCCCAGGACACGGGUGCCCUGAGCGUCCCCCAUGUCCAGCAUUUGGACAAUGAAUACAACCUGUUCUUCUGUGAGCGCUGCGAUGCCAAGACCCCAGCCUCCGAGGCAGGAAGCUGAAUCUGGCCCCAGGAAGCAGGCGGGGACGGCAGAGGGGAAGGAGAUGCUCAGCAGCCACUCACCGGGCGCUGCCCUGCCCAGCGCUGCUCCUGCCCCACCCAAGAUGACCACGUGCAGACCGACGCCCAGCAACGGGGAGCAGGAGGAGCCAGCAGAGGCCGAGGACGAGCCAGACACCCAAGCCCCUUCCCCAGGGGCCCAGGAGAGCACCCCACAGUCAGAGCCUGUCUCCACCCCCCACGGAGGGCCCCCGGAGAAGCCCCCAGCUGACCUGCUUGAGCGGCUCAGCAUGUGUGGGCAGAGCAGUGACCAGCACUCGCCCGGCUGGCCUGACCCUGCAGGACACGGUCCCGGCUCUCAAAGGAAGCAGCGGCCCCGCCCUGCAGCCGAGGCCCAGCAGGGAAGCCCCAGCCUGAGCCGGCCCCUCCCUGGGCAGCGCCUGCUCCAGCUGCAGGCACCAGUGCCUCCUGAGCACCCGAGGGUGUCCUGGCCCUGCCUGCACAGCCCUUCCCCUGUGGUCACCCGAGCCCUGCCCCACAGGCCCACUUCCCCACAGCCCUGCUCCCCUGCGCAGCCCAUCCCCCACAGCGUCACCCCCGACAGCCCCUCCUGCUCCUACAUUGUCGCCCCCACCCUGGCCGCAUGGCACGGCCACCUCCAGGCCACCACUGCACCCCGUUGUCCCCUUCAGGGCUCCUCAUGA
rnacentral:lncRNA from 1 species